UCUCCGUAGGUGAACCUGCGGAGGGAUCAUUACAGAGUUCAUGCCCUACCGGGUAGAUCUCCCACCCUAUGUUAUUAUUACUUUGUUGCUUUGGCGGGCCGUUAGGCUCCGGCCCGACUACCGGCCCCGGCUGGUAAGCGUCCGCCAGAGGACGCAAAACCCUGAAUAUUAGUGUCGUCUGAGUACUAUAUAAUAGUUAAAACUUUCAACAACGGAUCUCUUGGUUCUG
rnacentral:misc_RNA from 1 species